rnacentral:rRNA from 1 species
UCCUGAUACAACUACCAUUGGUGGCAGAUUGUCCUCACCCGGUUGUAUUUAUUAGCAUAAACCGACAGAUUUAGGGCCUUCUGAAAGGGGGGAUCUGCUUUAGUUGAAUCUAAAUAACUGUACAUAUCCUUGAUGAUUAUUGGGGAAAGUUUGAUCGAAUUUCUGCCCUAUCAACUUGUUGGUAAGGUAGUGGCUUACCAAGGUGUUGACGGGUAACGGGGAAUCAGGGUUCGAUUCCGGAGAGGGAGCCUGAGAAACGGCUACCACUUCCAAGGAAGGCAGCAGGCGCGCAAAUUACCCAAUCCAGACAUUGGGAGGUAGCGACGAGAAAUAUCAAGCUGAGGCAUAGCUUUAGCAUUGAAAUGAACGUAAUGUAAAUACUUUGAUGAGUAACAACUGGAGGGCAAGUCUGGUGCCAGCAGCCGCGGUAAUUCCAGCUCCAGUAGUGUAUAUCAAAAUUGUUGCGUUUAAAACGCUCGUAGUCGGAUAACAAGGGCGUCUUAUAUUGCCGUUUGUGCGAGCAGUAUAGGAUGCCUUUUAUUCGCAAGCACUGGUUGUGGGCUUUAAUGCUUGUGGCCAGUCACUUGCGAGGCGUGCCUUGAAUAAAGCAGAGUGCUAAAAGCAAGCGUAACGCUGGUAUGUAAUAGCAUGGAACGAAUAGUGUUGAUUGUUUGUGAGUUAGUUGGUGGGGUAUUAGCUGUGUUUAGAUUAAUCUAGAUAUGGCUAAUGCCACGAACUUGGUUUUAAUCAAGUUCGUACUCACAGUGGUCCUGGUUAAAAGGGACAUUUGAGGGCGUUAGUACUUGUUGGCGAGAGGUGAAAUUCUUAGACCCAACAAAGACUGACUAUUGCGAAAGCAUUCGCCAAGAGUGUUUUCAUUGAUCAAGAACGAAAGUUGGAGGUUCGAAGACGAUCAGAUACCGUCCUAGUUCCAUACAGUAAACGAUGCCAACACGGAAUCAGUCCGAGACGGACUCUGGUUGGUUCCCCAGUGAAAACUUAAGUCUUCGGGCUACGGGGAGAGUACAAUCGCAAGGUAGAAAUUUAAAAGAAUUGACGGAAGGGCACCACAAGGAGUGGAGCCUGCGGCUUAAUUUGACUCAACACGGGGCAACUCACCAGGUCCGGACAUCGAAAGGAUUGACAGACUGAUAGAUCUUUCAUGAUUUGAUGAUUGGUGGUGCAUGGCCGUUCUUAGUUGGUGGAGUGAUCUGUCAGGUUUAUUCCGGUAACGAGCGAGACCACGGUGUCUAGUUAAUGGCAUCAGGCUCGCUUCUAGUGAGCUUGAAGAUUCUAGACAGACAACCGGAUUGAAGCCGGGGGAAGCGUGGCAAUAACAGGUCUGUGAUGCCCUUCGAUGUUCUGGGCUGCACGCGCGCUACAAUGGCACCGACAGAAAGCUUAGUUGGGUCGAGAGGCCCGACGAACCAGUAAUCGGUGUCGUGAUUGGGAUUGAGCGUUGUAAUAUUUGCUCAUGAAAGAGGAAUUCCUCGUAAGCGCGAGUCACCAACUCGUGUGAAUACGUCUCUGCCCUUA